rnacentral:rRNA from 1 species
GACGAACGCUGGCGGCGUGCCUAAUACAUGCAAGUAGAACGCACAGUUUAUACCGUAGCUUGCUACACCAUAGACUGUGAGUUGCGAACGGGUGAGUAACGCGUAGGUAACCUGCCUGGUAGCGGGGGAUAACUAUUGGAAACGAUAGCUAAUACCGCAUAAUAUUAAUUAUUGCAUGAUAAUUAAUUGAAAGGUGCAAUUGCACCACUACCAGAUGGACCUGCGUUGUAUUAGCUAGUAGGUGAGGUAACGGCUCACCUAGGCGACGAUACAUAGCCGACCUGAGAGGGUGAUCGGCCACACUGGGACUGAGACACGGCCCAGCCUCCUACGGGAGGCAGCAGUAGGGAAUCUUCGGCAAUAGACGAAAGUCUGACCGAGCAACGCCGCGUGAGUGAAGAAGGUUUUCGGAUCGUAAAGCUCUGUUGUAAGAGAAGAACGGGUGUGAGAGUGGAAAGUUCACACUGUGACGGUAUCUUACCAGAAAGGGACGGCUAACUACGUG